CUUGCUUUCAAUGCUGACGAGUGGCGGACGGGUGAGUAAGGCUUGGGGAUCUGGCUUUUGGAGGGGGAUAACCAUUGGAAACGAUGGCUAAUACCGCAUAGUAUCGAGAGAUGAAAGGGGUGGGAAACCACUUGCCAAGGGAUGAACCCAAGUGAGAUUAGGUAGUUGGUGGGGUAAAGGCCUACCAAGCCGACGAUCUCUAGCUGGUCUGAGAGGAUGGCCAGCCACACUGGGACUGAGACACGGCCCAGACUCCUACGGGAGGCAGCAGUGGGGAAUAUUGCGCAAUGGGGGGAACCCUGACGCAGCCAUGCCGCGUGAAUGAAGAAGGCCUUCGGGUUGUAAAGUUCUUUCGGUGGUGAGGAAGGUGGUAGUGUUAAUAGCGCUAUUGUUUGACGUUAGCCACAGAAGAAGCACCGGCUAACUCCGUGCCAGCAGCCGCGGUAAUACGGAGGGUGCGAGCGUUAAUCGGAAUAACUGGGCGUAAAGGGCACGCAGGCGGGACGUUAAGUGAGAUGUGAAAGCCCCGGGCUUAACCUGGGAACAGCAUUUCAUACUGGCGUACUAGAGUACUUUAGGGAGGGGUAGAAUUCCACGUGUAGCGGUGAAAUGCGUAGAGAUGUGGAGGAAUACCGAAGGCGAAGGCAGCCCCUUGGGAAGAUACUGACGCUCAUGUGCGAAAGCNGUGGGGAGCAAACAGG
rnacentral:rRNA from 1 species